ACACUGAGGUGCAAAGGAGGGACCCGCUUGCUGGGCAUUGUUCUUGGGGAAUCUGCAAUUCAUGGCAGACAGGUCUCGCCCUCAGGAACUGAUGCUCUGGAGGGAGGGGCUUUCCCACCAUCGGCACAUCGACAAGAUAAAUCCAGGAGCUGGUAAGUGCAGUGAUAACAGGGGAAGGUGGGGUGACUACUUUCUGAAGGCAGCUCAGGAAAGGCCAGGAAGACAGUGCUGAAGCUGAGGCUGGGAUGCUGAGAAGGGAGCCAGGAGAAGGGGUGGGGGGAAGGAAAUCACAAAAGCAAAAGCCUUGCGAUGGGAAGGGACUUGAUUAGUCCAGGAAAAAAGCAAGACCAGGGUGGCCAAAGCCCAGCGGACAAGGAACAGAGAGGGUGGGCAGACAGGAGAUGAGGAGGGAGGUGGAUGGGCAGAGCAGGCGGAGUCUCACCGUCUUGGUUUGGAGUUUGGAUUUUAUUCCGUAUGUCAUAGGAAACCGCCGGAAGGUUCUGAACAGGGGAACUGAGGUUAUCCAGUUUAUGUUUUUAAAAUAUCACUGUGAUAAGCCAGUGUUUAAACUGAGUUUAGGCCCCUAGUCUGGCAUUUUGUUGCGGCAGCCCUGGCAGACUAAGACUUCAGCUUUCUUUUCUUUCGGUGUCCUAAGAAAUGUGAGCCUGACUUGAGGCCACGAAGAUCCUCUCCUGUGCUUACUCAUAUGAGGAAUCUGCCAUUCUGAGAACCCCGAGAGCUCACACAGGUGCUGAACUCCGGAUUCAGUCCCAGGCCUGUCUGACUCCAUGGCUAUACUGCUUCUGGGAUCCAGCAAGGUUGGAUCAGGAUCUGUGGACAUUGGAAAAUGCUGAUGAGGAGGAAAAAGCUAAGAGCCAACUGGGCUUAGGUGUUUGGAGAAGAAAGAAGCAAAUUUAGGAGCCAGUCGUGGUGACUAUGAGAUGAGAGAGAUGGAGAAAAUAGAUUUUAAAACUUUUUGUUCUGUGUUGGGACUGGAAUAUCUUUUGGCAUUUUCAAAGAGACUAAAGAUAUUAAAUGUUUGAAACUAU